CAGGAACCAGGAGUAAUAUAAUUCAUGGUGUGAAACGGGAGGAAGUUCUCCAAGGGAAGACAGAAAAGAGGUGGUCUGUGUCUUUACAAAGGAGAAAUCAAGAAAGAGGAAAACAUUCUGUGCUUAGCCACACACCUCGAUUUGUGGACGUGUGAAGACUGCUGUUGGAGGCAUUUUGCGACCAUGCAGGAAGUUGUCCCUGUGAUUUGGCCAGUGGCCCUGGAAGGGCACCGCUAGGGAAGUGCAGAGACACGAAACCGUUGCCAUUGCAUUAAGAGAAUGAAAGUUUGAUCUACCUCUGGGUAUCCAGCUAUCGGAACAAAUUUCCCAUUGGGCAGUAGAGCUGAUAAAAGAAUAAAGAAUUUCAAGAAUCCAUAUCCUGAAAAUAAGUCCCAAGUUGGUGAUGUUAAUGAGACCUUCCUAAGAAUGGGAAUUUGAAGUUGGUCCUAAUCAGAAUCCUGAUUGCAGGUGUAGUAUAAUUCCAAAGGGAGCAAAUUUACUCCUGAAUAUUUCAGACUUUUCACUUGAACACUUUCUUUAUCCCAGGUAAAUUUUUUGCAUGGCCAGUUGUAAAGUGUUUUUAAUAGUGACAGCUUACAUCCAUCCUACUUCCUUAAUGUCAGUCCCAUGGUUCUGUGAUCAGAAUGUCAUCAUAAUGAAUCUGUCACACCAUCAGGUCCUUUGCAAGCAACUUUGAAGCCAAGUGUGCAAGCUGCAGUGAAGUACUUGGUGUCUGUACAAUCCCAAUCCAGAUGUGCUCCCACCUUCAGGGCUACAUAGCUUUCCACAGGUGCAUUAAGUGGCCAAGAGACUCUGUUAGUGCAAAGCAUACAGCUGAAGUAAAGGGGAAUUCACAAGGGGAGGACAUCUGUCGGAAAUAAGCCACAUAAAAGGAGCUCUCAGAGUUCCAAAAGUGGUUUUUCAGCUUCUGCAGAAUCAGCCAUUGACAGAUGGACCUGGAUCCAGAUGUUACAAUGAAGAAAAACACAUUCUAGAAUUUAGCACUUAGGUCCUCUAACUAUGUUGAAAGUACUAUAGCCAUACAGAUAAGGUGCCAUAACUAUAGCUUUAAAGAUAUGCUAUUAAUAAAUACAGAAUUUUAUUUUCGCUAUGGUCCCCAAACUUGCAGAAAUGCCCUGUGUACUAGCCCUGAGCCCAAUGCUUCAAAAGAGCCUGCUCAUAAGUGUUCAUUAAGUACUUGUUAUAUGUAACAACUCCAAACUACUG